AACGAACGCUGGCGGCAGGCUUAACACAUGCAAGUCGAGCGAGACCUUCGGGUCUAGCGGCGGACGGGUGAGUAAAGCGUGGGAACGUGCCCUUCUCUACGGAAUAGUCCCGGGUAACUGGGAGUAAUACCGGAAAAGCUCCUCGGGGGAAAGAUUUAACGGAGUAGGAUGGGCCCGAGUUGGUUUAGGUAGUUGGGAGGGUAAUGGCCCACCAAGGCGUGGAUCCAUAGAUGGUUUGAGAGGAAGAUCAGCCACACUUGGACUGAGGCGCGGGCCAGAAUCCUACGGGAGGCAGGAGUGGGGGAUCUUAGCCAAUGGGGGCAAUGCUGAUCGAGCCAUGCCUGGUAAGUGAUUAAGGUGUUAGGGUUGUAAAGCUCUUUCAGCCGGGGAGAUAAUGACGGUACCAGCAGAAGAAGCCCCGGCUAACUCCGUG
rnacentral:rRNA from 1 species